UUUUUUUUUCUUUUUUUUUUUUUUUGCUUUUCAGGGUCUUACCCAUGGCAUAUGGAAAUUCUCAGGCUAGGGGUUGAAUCAGAGCUAUCGCUACUGGCCUACACUCCAGCCACAGCAAUGCAGGAUCCUAUACCACAGCUCACGGCAAAGCCAGAUACUUAACUCACUGAGCGAGGCCAAGGAUCGAAUGCGCAUCCUCAUGGCACUAGUCGGAUUUGUUUCCACUGCACCACAACAGGAACUCCCACCAAUUUCUGUAGUAAUAACUUACUUUCAAUUAUUGACUAAGGAGUUGACUAAGGAGUUAAAGGUUUGUACCAGAACUCACUUCAGGUAGGAAUAUGUUUAAAUACAAAAAGUUCCUGUGAUAAUCUGUGUGGGAACCUGAAAGAGUGAGUGUGUGUGUAUGUGUAACUGAAGCACUUUGUUACAGAGCAGAAAUUAUCACAACUCUGUAAAUCAACUAUACUUCAAAACUUUUUUUUGAAGUUCACUUUGUUAGUCUUUAUACUACUUUAGAGAUUUCCAUGCAAAUGCUGACCUCUCGUGGUAACAACCAGUUACUUCAGAGAAGUUAACAUUCCAAUGGAAUUUAAGAUAAUUUGUGUUACUAUGGAUAGAAAGAGGCAAAGUCAAAUGAUCAUACUUCAAUGGAAGAAAAAAAUACUUCAUCCACAAAAUGCUUUCCCCUUGGAAAUCCCAGAACUUUCUUUCUUUCUCCACAGGCUUUUUCAUUUUGCUCAUUAUAUUCCCAUUGAAAAUUAUAAAACAUGAUCACUCCAACCAGAGAUUUAUUCACACCAAAACAAAUACCUCUGGCUUGUUCAUUUUCUCUGCUUUUUCUUGUUCAUUUUCUCUGCUUUACAUACGCAUCAAAGGAAUAUUUUAAAAUUUGUUCACCAAUUCAUGGAUUGCACUUUGUGUCUCGAAGUCUGUGGCUUUACCAACAGUACCCAAAUUAACAUUCUUACACAUGUCCCUUUGUACACAUGUAUAAGAAAUCCCCCUGUGUUUAUACCUCUUGUGUUUAUACCUAGAAGGGAAUUACAUUUUCAACCCUAAUAUAAUGCCAAAUUCUUUUCUGAAAUGGUUGUAUCAGAUUUCAUUUCCAUUAGCUGAGUACACAUGCACCAAUAUACAUGAGGCUUUAUUUAUUUUGUUUGUUUGCCUUUUCUCGGGCUACUCCCGAAGUAUAUGGAGGUUCCCAGGCUAGGGGUCUAAACGGAGCUGUGGCCCCCAGCCUUCGCCAGGGCCACAGCAAUGUGGGAUCUGAGACACAUCUGCGAUCUACACCACAGCUCAUGACAACACCAGAUCCUUAACCCACUGAGUAAGGCCAGGGAUCAAACCUGAGUCCUCAUGGAUACUAGUCAAAUUGUUUCCACCAAACCACAACAGGAGCUCCUCAUCAGGCUUUAAAACUCAUGCCAACCUGAUAGAUGAGAGAACAAUAUCCCAAUAUUGUUUUAUUUAUUUCCCUGAUUACUCAGGGAGCUAAGCAUCUUUUCUUACCUCUUCUUUGUGUGAAUUUCCUGUUUAUGUCCUUUUGCCAUUUUUAACUUGUUUGCCUUCUUAUUAAUUUAAAAAUGUUUUUAAUAUAUUCUAUACACUAAUCCCUGGUUAUUUGAGUUGCAAAUAACUUCCACCACACUAAGCCCCAACUUUUCAUUUUUAUUAUCAUGUCUUCUGAUGAGCUGAAGUAAUUUUAAUGUUGCCAAAAUUAUCUAUCUUUUCCUUUAUGGUUUAUGCUUUUUUGUAUUUUAUUUGAGUUGUCCCUCCCUACUCUAUGCAGUUAGAUAUAUUCUAAAUAAUUUAGUAUUAUAUUUCAUAUUGUAUCAUUAAUCCACCUGGAAUUUUUUGUGUGUAAUAUGAGGGACUUUUUUUUCCCCACCUGUGGAUAACCAUCGUCCCAGAAUAAUUUGUCAUAUAAGCUCUCACUUUCCUAUUGACUGUAGUCACAGUGUCUUAAAAUGUGAUACAAUGAAACAUAGAUAAAACUUCUACAUAUGUGUGCAGUCUGUUUGGGGGCUCACUACUUUCUUUCAUUAGUCAAUUUUUCUGUCUCUUAACCAUUAUUAUGGCAUCUUAAUUAUUAGGGUUCUAAUAAGCUUAUAUCUGAUAGGGUAAGUUUUAAUUUUUCCCAGUGUUAUUAAGGUAUAAUAGACAAAUAACAAUUACACAUUUUAAGGUAUACAACAUGGUUUUGAUAAGCAUGUACAUUGUGAAAUGAUUACAUGAUUACCACAAUCAAGCUAAUUAGCUACCUCAUAUAGUUACUUUUUAUGAAUGAUGACAACACCUAAGAUCUCUUUCAGCAAAUUUCAAGUGUACAAUACAGCAUUAUUAACUAUAGUCUCCAUGUGGUACAUUAGCUCUUCAGCAUUUAUCUGUUUUACAACUGAAAGUUUGUAUCAUUUGACCCCUGGUAACCACCAUUCCACGCUCUGCUUUAAUGAGCUCAACUUUUUUCAGAUUCCACAUGUACAUGAGACCAUGCAGUAUAUUCUUAAUAUUUGUGUGUGUGUGUGUGUGUGUGUGUAUCACACUUUCUCCAUUCAUCCAUUGACAGACACAUAAAUUGUUUCUAUACCUUGUCUACUGUAAAUAGUGCUACAAGGAAUGUGGGAAUACAGGUUACCUCCUUGAAAUGUGGUUUCAUUUCUUUGAUAUAUACAGGUACUCAGAAGUAGAAUUGCUGGAUCAUAUGGUAGCCCAUUUUAAUUUUUUGAGGAACCUCCAUAUUUUCCAUAGUGGCUAAACCAAUUUACAUUCCUCCCAAAAGUGUACAAGUGUUCCUGUUUCUCUACAUUCUCACCAGCACACUUGUUAUAUUUUGUCCUUUUGAUAACAGCCAUUCUAACAGACACCGUCUUGAUUUGCAUUGCCCUGAUGACUGGUAAUGUAGAGCAGAUUUUCAUAUACUUGUUGGCCAUGUGUAUGUCUUCUUUGGAGAAAUGUCCAUUCAGGUCCUUUGCCCGUUUUUUAAUUGGGUUCCUUAUGUGUUUUGGAUAUUAAACUCUCAUUAGAUGUAUGGUUUGCAAAUAUCUUCCCCAUUCUGUAGUUUGUCUCUUCACUCCUUUGUCUCCUUUGCUCUAAGAAGCUUUUUAGUUUGAUGAAAUCCCACUUGCCUUUUUAAUGCUUGUAGGAUCGGUAAUGAUGUCCCAUUUUUUUCUCAUAUUGACAGUUUAAGUUCUCUUUUUAUUCUUGAUCAUCUUGUUAAAGUUUAAUCAAUUUUAUUCAUCUUUUCAAAAAACCAACUUUCAAGGGUUUUUUGUUUUUUAGGGCCGAACUCAUGGCAUAUGGAAGUUCCCAGGCUAGGGGUCAAAUCAGACCCACACCACAGCCACAGCAGCUGAGGAUCCAAGCCCUAUCUGUGACCUACACCACAGCUCAGGGCAAUGCCAGAUCCUUAACCCACUGACUGAGGCCAAGGAUCGAACCCACAUCCCCAUGGAUACUAAUCAGGUUCAUAACUUGCUGAGCCACAAUGGGAACACCCCAACUUUUAGUUUUAUUCAUUUUGUCUAUGGUUUGCUUUCUACUUUGUUGCCUUCACAUUAUUUGUUUACUUUCUUAGGAUUUAAUUUGUAUAUUUUUUUUCGUCUUUUUGGGGCUGCAUAUGUGGCAUAUGGAGGUUCCCAGGCUAGGGGUAGAAUGGGAACUGCGGCUGCCAGUCUAUGCCACAGCAACAUGGGAUCUGAGCCACUUCUGUGACCUACACCACAGCUCACAGCAAUGCCAGAUCCUUAACCCGCUAAGUGAGGCUAGGGAUCGAACCAGCAUCCUCAUGAAUGCUACUCAGAUUCAUUUCCACUGAGCCACAAUGGGAAAGCCC
ensembl:lncRNA